rnacentral:lncRNA from 12 species
UCUCUCUGCUCCUUCACCCUUUCAUGCAUGCACAUAUGGAUGGAUAUUCCUUCUCAAAGGAGGUGACUCCAAAUUACUAGAUAGCUGUACUGCAAUGUUAAAAGAGCAUUCCCUGGUCCCUUUCAUCUUGAAAAUAACUUCAUGUGAAUAUCCUGUGCAAAUUGAUCUAUAUAAUACACCGAUGUAAUGUGUGCAUGUGAAGAUCUGGAGGAAUGCUUCAUAACAAAGCUGGAUGAACACUACUGUGGACCAGAUAUUGCCUCUUCUCCAAAGUACAGGUGCUACUAGAGCUUUUCAUAGCUCAUAUAGCCCAUAGCCCCUCAAGGACACUGGAAACACUGCAGAGGAAUAAUUGGUAUGCCCAGGUUAGUUGCAUUACUUGUAGCUGG